UACGGAAGGCAGCAGUGGGGAAUAUUGCACAAUGGGCGCAAGCCUGAUGCAGCCAUGCCGCGUGUAUGAAGAAGGCCUUCGGGUUGUAAAGUACUUUCAGCGGGGAGGAAGGCGAUGUGGUUAAUAACCGCAUCGAUUGACGUUACCCGCAGAAGAAGCACCGGCUAACUCCGUGCCAGCAGCCGCGGGUAAUACGGAGGGUGCAAGCGUUAAUCGGAAUUACUGGGCGUAAAGCGCACGCAGGCGGUCUGUCAAGUCGGAUGUGAAAUCCCCGGGCUUAACCUGGGAACUGCAUUCGAACUGGCAGGCUAGAGUCUUGUAGAGGGGGUAGAAUUCCAGGUGUAGCGGUGAAAUGCGUAGAGAUCUGGAGGAAUACCCGGUGGCGAAAGGCGGGCCCCCUAGACCAAAGACUGACGCUCAGGGUGCGAAAGCGUGGGGAGCAAACAGGAUUAGGAUAACC
rnacentral:rRNA from 1 species